ACCCUGGACGAGGGAUCACUCGGCUCGUCCAUCGAUGAAGAGCGUAGCCAGCCGCGAGAACUGAUGCGAAUUGCAGAACUCAGUGAACAUCGACUUACUGA